rnacentral:rRNA from 1 species
UACGAAGGGGGCUAGCGUUGUUCGGAAUUACUGGGCGUAAAGGGCGCGCAGGCGGUCGCUCAAGUCAGGCGUGAAAGCCCCGGGCUCAACCUGGGAAUAGCGCUUGAGACUGAGCGACUUGAGUUCGGGAGAGGAGAGCGGAAUUCCCAGUGUAGAGGUGAAAUUCGUAGAGAUUGGGAAGAACAUCCGUGGCGAAAGCGCUCUGCUGGACUGCAACUGACAUUGAGGGACGAAAGCUAGGGGAGCGAAUGGG